rnacentral:rRNA from 1 species
CAAUAGCGUAUAUUAAUGUUGUUGCAGUUAAAAAGCUCGUAGUUGGAUUUCUGGUGGGAGUGGCCGGUCCGCCGUAAGGUGUGUACUUGGUUGUCUCCCGUCAUCCUUGUGGGAACUGCUCUGGCAUUAAGUUGUCGGGGUUAGGGAACACAUCGUUUACUGUGAAAAAAUUAGAGUGUUUAAAGCAGGCUUAUGCCGUUGAAUACAUUAGCAUGGAAUAAUAGAAUAGGACUUUGGUUCUAUUUUGUUGGUUUCUAGGACCGAAGUAAUGAUUAAUAGGGACAGUUGGGGGCAUUAGUAUUUAAUUGUCAGAGGUGAAAUUCUUGGAUUUAUGAAAGACUAACUACUGCGAAAGCAUUUGCCAAGGAUGUUUUCAUUAAUCAAGAACGAAAGUUAGGGGAUCGAAGACGAUUAGAUACCA